rnacentral:rRNA from 1 species
GAUGAACGCUAGCUACAGGCUUAACACAUGCAAGUCGAGGGGAAACGGCAUUAAGUGCUUGCACUUUUUGGACGUCGACCGGCGCACGGGUGAGUAACGCGUAUCCAACCUUCCCAUGACUAAGGGAUAACCUGCCGAAAGGCAGACUAAUACCUUAUGGUCUUCACUGACGGCAUCAGAUGUGAAGUAAAGAUUUAUCGGUUAUGGAUGGGGAUGCGUCUGAUUAGCUUGUUGGCGGGGUAACGGCCCACCAAGGCAACGAUCAGUAGGGGUUCUGAGAGGAAGGUCCCCCACAUUGGAACUGAGACACGGUCCAAACUCCUACGGGAGGCAGCAGUGUGGAAUAUUGGUCAAUGGGCGAGAGCCUGAACCAGCCAAGUAGCGUGCAGGAUGACGGCCCUAUGGGUUGUAAACUGCUUUUGUAUGGGGAUAAAGUCAAUCACGUGUGAUUGUUUGCAGGUACCAUACGAAUAAGGACCGGCUAAUUCCGUG